CACACACGCUCGUUGUUUAUCCAGCACUGGCUUUGUAAUGAACGAUGUCCAAAGACAAGACGGCUGACGUUUGGAUUAAAUGCACCAUAUGUUGUACAUGAAACACGGGGACAAUGGCCUUGAACAUGACAAGGCAUUCCGAUGCAAGAACUGUGUUUAGUUUUUGCAGAAACAACCUCAGUUCUGAGACGUUCACACAUCCAUCAUCUUGUAAAAUCAUGUCACGCAAUCACCAGCAGAGGUCAUAAUCACCACAGAAUUGAACCAAUCUCCAUGACAACCUUCUUUAGGCCUACAUCUUUACCAAGCAUUUCAUGCCAUUUUUUAUAAAAACAUGUCAUGCUUCCUUUUGCAAUUUAAUUUAUCUUUCUUAAU